rnacentral:lncRNA from 1 species
AGAGCCUUUGGGAACCUAAUCGCCUUUGGACGUAUAACACAUACUUUAUUCAUGUUGUUGUUGUUGGAAUGUUUUCGACUUUUCUGUUGGUUGGUUUGAGAUUUUGGAAGUCUUUUGCGGAGGUUUGAGUUCCAGUGGUUCUUUAUUUCAUUGUCUGUUCGCCCUGGAAGCCUCCCAGCUAUCAACGACCAUCUGCUUUACGCCGCUAACUUUUUUUUAGAAAGGAAGAGAAUGUUAUGUAUUUUGGUGAAAGCAAACGUUAGUAACCUGUUUCCAAGGAGAUUAUGGAGGCGGAUUAUAAGUUCUUCUUCAUCAGAUGAGAUGUUUCCGCGCUUUAUGCCUGGUCUCAAGUAGUUCUUCCACCGAAGUCUGCAGCUUUUGCCACACCUCUUGAGACCUUUAUGUUUUCGGAAACAAUGAUUUUAAACAUAUUGAUAUAAUUUUUCAAUCAUUAAAAAGAAAAUUAAAAGAUGCACGGAUAUGUACCAGCUUGGUUUGGGAGUGUGCUCCAUUUUCCUUCGCCGUGGAACAUGAUAUAGUCUUUAAGGAUCUUGUCUUCUUGAUCGGUCCAAGCUCCUCUGUUUAACUCCUCUUUCUUCACCUUACUACUUUCUCUCUUUCUCAUCAUCUCUCUUGUUGUUGUGUGGUUGGUAGACUUGUCUUUAGCGUUGUGUUAAGAAUAGAUUAUGUUCUGUGUUAAACCAAGUAUCUUUAUAGGGAGUUGUUGCAAUGUCCGUUACAUCAGUCGCUUUCCAAAACCUCUGUCACACACACACACACCCUUUUUAGUUUCAAUGCUUUUCCCACUUCACACCAUGAUUUACUAGUCUAGUCUUACGUGCUAAGUCUCUAACUGUGUACUUGUGUAGUUCCUAAACCGACCUUGAUCAUUAUCGUAUAACAAAUUAAGCAUGACUGUGAAUGAUUGGUGAAAAUAGUCAUUCCUAGUCUUAGUCGCAUUCUAGCUUGUAAGCAACCAUCUUCACUGAACUAAGUGGUAAGAGCAUCCUCAUUGCUAAUUGUUAAAAUUAAAUACUCUCAAACAAAAAUAAUAAAUUUUAUUUUAACAUAAUAUAACUAAUACUAUUUGAGGUCCAAAAAUAACUAACUACUAGAUUUUGACCCGCGCUUCGAAAGCGCGAGCGCGGGUUUUUCUUUGGAUUGUAAACAAAUAUUAUGAAUUAGUAUUUUAAAAUUGUUAUGCAUUAUUAUGUUAUAAAAGUUAUAUUAUAUCGAAGAAAAAAUUUAUUUAAAAUUGUAUAAUUUAUGAAUUAGUUUAUUUAUGAUUUUGUAUAUAUACUCUUAUGUAAUUCUCUCUCUUAGAUAUGAACAUUUUACCAGAUCCGUGAAACCAAACUGAAACCGAUCUGGAAAUAUUGGUGCUGUUUGGUUUUGGAUCUAGGGCAAAGUACAUAUUCAAUUUUAUUUUUGGACCCGCAAGUUUUCUUUGAGUCAAUAUCCUAACCGAGAUCCAACCUAAUACCCAAGUACCUGAAUUGUUUUGUGUAUAUUAAGUAUAUUCGAGUAUUUUAGAUAUGUUUUCGGUAUUGUUUUGCGGAGGUUUGAGUUCCAGUGGUUCUUUAUUUCAUUGUCUGUUCGCCCUGGAAGCCUCCCAGCUAUCAACGACCAUCUGCUUUACGCCGCUAACUUUUUUUUAGAAAGGAAGAGAAUGUUAUGUAUUU